CUCCGUCUCCGAGGGCUGCGCGGGUUAACCCGCCCGGCGCGGGCGGCUGGGGCCGCUGUGGCGCCCCUUCAGAGAUGGAGACUGAAGUUUCUAGAAGUUAACUGCUCUCGGAGGAAGGGCCGAUGAGUGGGUGCGAUGUCGCUCCUCCCGACGUCCUCAACUCUUGGCGCUGUCGGGGACCCAAGGGGUCCGCUUUUCAGAACGUCGGGGUGACGGAGGGGGGAGCAGUCUAGAGAAAGCCAGUGGCCAUGUCAUGAGGACCCUCAUGCAGCCUGCGGAGAGGCCCAGGGCUCCUGGAACUGAGGCUUUCUGCUAGCAGAUGUGUGAGUUAUCUUGGAAGCAGUUUCUCCAGUCCUGAUCAACCUUUAGCUGACUGCAGCUUUCCUGAGCCUGGACCACCCAGCUUAGCCACUCCUGAUUUCCUGACUCUCAGAAACUAUGUGUGUGAUCUCUUGGAAGACAGAAAACCGUAACUCAAUCUGAACGCCUGUUUUUCCAGGAUCUAGUAUGGUGGAUAUGCAGACAUACAGUGGACACAACACCUUUUUGACCAUAGAAUAAACAAGUCUAAAUGCAAGGAUGGUAAUGCCAAUAAGAAAGGGAAUAUUGGCAAUAUGAUAUCUAGUAGAGGUAGCUAUCAGCUGGUUGUAAACAGAGAUUUACUGGAGCUUAUCUUCAUAAAGAGGAAACACAAGACAUGACAGUAGAUGAUAUAACCAAAAAAGAAAGUGAAGAUUAACAGGAUACCAAAAGAGCAAUCAGAAAGGCAGGUAUAAUAGUACCACUUCUAAAAAAAACCAAAAAAAUAAUUAAAAAAAAAAAACAAUUUCAGAAAGAGAAAUAGAGAUGAUAAAGGAAAAUAGUAUAUUGAAAAUGGAGGUUACUGGAUUUAUUAAAAGAUGUUUUACUGGAGG